rnacentral:rRNA from 1 species
UACGGAAUGUGCAAACGUUACUCGGAAUUACUGGGCGUAAAGCGUGCGUAGGUGGUCCGUUAAGUCUGAUGUGAAAGCCCUGGGCUCAACCUGGGAAUGGCAUUGGAAACUGGCGACCUAGAGUGCGGUAGAGGGUAGUGGAAUUCCCGGUGUAGCAGUGAAAUGCGUAGAGAUCGGGAGGAACAUCUGUGGCGAAGGCGACUGCCUGGACCAGCACUGACACUGAGGCACGAAAGCGUGGGGAGCAAACAGG